CCCACUAGUUGGGUAACUUUGGGCAGCUGACGACAUCUCUGGGCCAUAAUUUUCCUAAAAAAGAGGCUUGACCCAGAUGAUUUAAGGUCUCUCGACAGCAUUAACGUGACCGUUACUUGAUACUAAGAGUUCCUGCUUUAGCCAUUAGGGAAAAGCUGUUGAAAUCUAUGAGGAUGAGUGUUUAAGGAACAAGAGCAGGUUACACAUGGGAAGACAGGACAUGGAACCAUUAUGCAGAAACAAGGCACCAGACCAAAGAGGCCCCUCUGCUCUUGGCACCGCAGGCCCAAGGUGUCAUCCUGGGAAGAAAGAGGGCUUUAAAAUUGUAAAGAGAGAGGCAAAGCAAGAAAGAGAAUUAAGAUGGAACUCCACUCCACCAUCCAUGGGCUUCCCAGCUCUGCUCAGAACACUCGCCUAAACUCCAUGUAAUAAUCAUGGUUGUGAUGUCCUGUCCAUCUCCUCCAACAGCCUGAAGGGGGCUACACUCCCAUUUGCUACAGCUGAAGACACUGGCCCUUAGCUUGGGGAGUAUGCAUGCAACAAAGAAGCAGUGUUUGGCACCACUAAGCAAUCAUUAAGUUAUCACAUGCUUUUUUUCUAGUAAGAUAAUAAACGUUCACUGUUCAGCCUGUACUGUUGUACUAUCCUCUUCCUCUGACUCCUGCAAAUACGAGGUUUUCAGCCAAAAUCAGGAUUCUAGCUUCCCUGGAAAAUAACCUGAUCCACAGGGAUGGACUACGUGAUCCUGACUAGGAAACAGAAACCCCAGAAUU
rnacentral:lncRNA from 1 species